CGGUUUGGACGGGGAAAUUAUAUAACCCAGAUAGUUUUAGGGCUCAUAUGAAAAGUUUAUGGAAGACAAGGAAAAAGUUUGAAAUCAGAUUGGUGGGACGAAACUUAUUUCUAAUAAUUUUUGAGAUGGUAGAAGAUCUGGAGUUGAUUUUGGAGGGGAGACCUUGGCUCUUUCGUAAAAACUUAAUUUUAUUUGACAGGUUACGCCAAGCGGUGGAAAGAGAUCAGAUAAAGUUAACUUCAUCCCCGUUUUGGAUAAAAAUUGAGUCGUGUUUCCCAGAGUUCAACAAGAAAGAUCCAUUGCAUGCCAUUGGUUCUACGUUUGGUGGGGUCCUCAGAUCUGAAAUUAGUGAAGAUUUCUGCCGACUCAGAGUUAAUUUGGAUGUUCAAAGACCACUUAGAAGAGGUAUUUUUGUUUCUAAUGCUUAUGUUAGUAAAGUUUGGAUACCCUUCAAGUAUGAAAACUUGCCAAUAUUCUGUUUUGAAUGCGGAAGAAUGGGGCAUGGGAUGAGUAAUUGCACCCAGCUAUUACCUGCAAGAAAAAAUAAAAUCAGUGAAAAUCCUCCUUAUUUUGUGGCCUUAAAAGCAGAAUCAAGAUUAAUUGGAAAAGAAAGUGUGAAAUUUAAUAGUUUGAAGAAACAAACGGGGGUUCAGAGUUCUUAUAUCAGAGAAGAGAGAAUUUCACCCAAUAGUAUUAAAUGUGCUGAGAAUGGAAGCAAUGAAGAGGGGGCCUGCAGGAGAAUUUGAAAUUAAAAGAAGGGGAGGAGAUGCCAGAAGAACAGGAAGGUAUUUUGGAGGUAGAGGAAGCUGAGAAGGUGAAUUUAAAGGAAAGGGGGAAGAUGCUAAAAGAAUAUGCAGGUAUUUGGAGACAAGGGGAAGCUGAGAAGGUGAGUAAUUGUAAUAGAGAGAAGAGCCAAAAUCCAAAUCAAGAGAAACAAGCAAAAUGGAUAAGCAUUCAACAUGGCACAACAACGACAAAAGCUAGAAAUAAUACGAGGAAGAGGAAGCCCAUUGAUGCAGAUUUUACCAGCGAUCAUACAGGAAAAGGAGACAGAGAUGGAAUUAAAAGGUUGAAACAAGAUACUUCAGACUACUACAAAGGCCCUGUGGAAAUGGUGACAGACACUAACGAGCAAAUUGAAGUUCAAGAUUUAUUGAUAUCGGCGGCUGCUAAUAGGCAAACCGACCGGACGCAAUGAAAACCAUCAGCUGGAAUGUUCAUGAAUUGGGGAGUCCACGAGCUGGAAGAAGGCUGCGUUACUUCCUCAAGCAGCACAAUCCCCAAAUGGUUUUCUUAAUGGAGACCAAAGUUGAUAGACAGAGGAUGGAAAAAAUCGGACAGAGAUGCGGUUUUAUGAAUGGUAUUGAUAUAGAAGCACAAGGUUCGAAAGGAGGAUUAUGCUUAGCAUGGAAAGGUGACACCAAAGUAAGUUUACGAAGUUUUUCUAGGAAUCACAUUGAUGUUCUGGUUGAAGAGGAACAGGGUAACAAAGAGUGGAGAUUUACAGGUUUCUAUGGCUCUCCAUAUGUCCACAAUAAGAGUGAUUCGUGGGAUUUGCUGAUAAAUCUGGGGCAAGAUAACAGCCACCCAUGGUUGGUAAGUGGUGACUUCAAUGAGAUCAUGUAUUCUUUUGAGAAAUGUGGGGGUGCCCCAAGGGAAGAGAACAGAAUGAAGGCAUUUCGAGAGGUCGUAGAGAAUUGCCAUUUAGAAGAUUUGGGUUUUUCGGGAGUAUGGUUUACAUGGGAAAUGGGAAAUUUACCAGAGACAAAUAUUAGAGAAAGACUUGAUAGGGGGUGGUAAAUGAUAAAUGGAGGCUCUUUUUCCCAGCAGGUAGAGUUAACCAUCUACCCCACACAAUGUCAGACCACUGCCCACUUCUAAUUAACACAGAUGGCGAAAGCAUUCAUAAUGGCAAUUCAAAAUUUAAAUUUGAUGCGUGGUGGUUGAUGGAGGAUACUUGUGAAAAAAUAAUUAAAGAAUCUUGGGAGUCAGGAACAGGCCCAGUAGCUGAGAAACUUGGAAAGUUGCAAGCAGAUUUAUUAGAUUGGGCGAGAAAGAUUAAGAAAGGUCGGGAGGGGCUAAAGAAAAAGUUAACGAAGCAGCUAGAAGUGUUAAUGGGGAAAGAAAUGAAUGACAAUACAAUGGCAGACAUUGUAGACACUAAGAUCCACCUAAAUAUGGAAAUUGAUAAGGAUGAAAUAUAUUGGGAACAAAGAGCAAGGGCAAAUUGGCUGAAAGUGGGUGAUAAAAAUACAGUUUUUUUUCACAGGUUUGCUACUUCUAGAAGACGUAUAAAUUCAAUAUCCAAAUUGGAGAAAUCUGUGGGCGGAGAAGUAACUGAGGAGAGUGAGAUUAAUGAUGUGGCCACCUCCUAUUUUCAGGAACUUUUCACGACAAAAGGAAGGGCGGAAUGUUCAUAUCUCCUAUCGGGAAUAAAGGAAAAUAUUUCAUCUGAUAUCAAUAGAGAGCUAAUGUUAACCUUUACAGCAGAAGAAUUGUAUGCGGCAUUAAAGGAAAUAGGACCAACAAAAGCUCCAGGAUAUGAUGGUUUUCCAGCCAUUUUCUUUCAGAAAUUCUGGCAUAUCGUAGGUAAGGAAAUAACCAAUCUUUGCUUGGAAAUUUUAAAUAACGGUGCAAGUUUUGGUAAUUUAAAUCAUACCGACAUUGUGCUGAUCCCAAAAAUUCCAAAUCCCACUAGCAUAGUUAAUUUCAGACCUAUCAGUUUAUGUUCAGUAAUCUACAAAAUGGUGGCAAAAACAAUUGCAACUCGACUACAAGCAGUUAUUGGAAGAUGCAUUGAUGCUGCUCAAAGUGCGUUCAUCCCGGGAAGGCUAAUAACAGACAAUGUGAUACUAGCUUAUGAGAUCUUACAUACUUUUCGGCAAAAGUGCACAGGAAAAAAAGGAUACAUGGCAGUUAAACUUGACAUGAGCAAAGCCUAUGAUAGGGUUGAGUGGGGAUUCUUGAAGGAAGUGAUGUUACGAAUGGGCUUCACACCAGAGUGGGUUAAGCUGAUUAUGACUUGUGUUUCCACAACAUCCUAUGCAGUUAAUACAAAUGGUAGAAGUGGAAGAGUUUUUUCACCGUCUCGAGGCUUACGUCAAGGAGAUCCGCUGAGCCCCUUUCUUUUUCUGAUUUGUAGUGAGGGGUUAUCAUCUUUAAUGAGAUUGGCUUCUGAAAAGGGACUGAUAAAGGGUGCAAAAACAAGCAGAAGAGGACUAGAAAUUUCACUUCUACUCUUUGCAGAUGAUUGUAUGUUGUUUGGGGAAGCAUCUGAUAGGGGUGCCAGUAUACUAAAGGAAAUUUUGAAGGAAUAUGAAAAGUGUUCUGGACAGUGCGUUAAUUUCAACAAGUCUACCAUAUUUUUCAGCACCAAUACGUCAGAAGAAAAAAUGAAUGAAGUUUCAGCAAAAUUGGGGGUUAGGAUCUCAACAAACUUAGAACGAUAUCUAGGGCUUCCAAACAUGGUUGGUCGACGAAAGAAAAAAUCCUUUCAGCAUUUAAAAGAAAAGAUUGCUACCAGGAUUGAUGGGUGGAGUACUAGAAUGUUAUCUCAAGGAGGCAAAGAAGUCUUUAUUAAAUCGGUGUUACAGGCCAUUCCAACGUACGCUAUGUCAUGCUUCUUAUUACCAAAGACUCUUUGUGGAGAAUUUGAAAAUAUUUUUGCUAAAUUUUGGUGGCAAAAAACGCAUGGUAUGAGAGGUAUUCAUUGGUGUCAGUGGAAGUACUUAUGCCGUCCUAAAGAAGAAGGGUGGAUUGGGCUUUAGAAAUAUGGCUCAAUUUAAUGUUUCACUUUUAGCUAAGCAAGGAUGGCGUAUUAUAAACAAUCCAAAUUCUUUAGUUGCGCAAGUAUUAAAAGCGAAAUAUUUUCCAAGUGUUGAUUUUUUAAACUCACAGUUGGGGAAUAAUAUAUCGUAUACAUGGAAAAGUAUUUGGGCUGCUAAGGGCAUCCUAGCAGAGGGCUUAUGUUGGAAGGUGGGGCGAGGUACAAAAAUUUCAAUCAGUCGUGAUUAUUGGAUUCCAGUUUUACCGCGUGAUAGAUUACCAGUUUUAAGUUCAAAUUUGAAUGAUAGUAAAGUUGCAGAGCUAAUUGAUUCAAGUAGCAGAACAUGGAAACAAGAGUUGGUAGAGCAUACCUUUCCGGAGGAUGUAGCAGAGAAGAUCCUCAGUAUCCCACUAGCUGAAACACCGCACGAUGAUUUCCAAGUUUGAAGCGUUGAAGCGACGGGUGAGUUCACAACACGGAGCGCCUAUAAACUAUUACAAAGCAUUGAAAAUAACCCUGAAGCUUAUGCUUUACAAAAUGACUACAAGGACUUCUACAGAAAACUAUGGCUACUUGAUCUUCCUUCAAAAAUUAAAAUUACAGUUUGGAAGAUAUCUUGGAAUUUUCUAGCUACGCGAGCUAAUAUGCUACUUAGAAGACUGACGAACACGUCAGUAUGUCCUCGCUGUAGUUCAGGAACUGAAACUAUGGACCAUCUCUUCCGGGAAUGUCCUGCUACAAUAGCAGUAUGGAGAGAGUUAUCUUUUCAUAGGUUUUUGCAAGACAAUCAAAUGGGGUUUCUACAGUGGCUAACCUGGGUUUUCUCACAAAGCUCGACUCCUCAGCAUCGAAUCUUUUGUGUUGCAGUAUGGGCCAUCUAGGGAGACAGGAACAAUAGAUUGCAUAAAAAAGAUGGUAAAUCUGGAAAAGAAGUAGGGAGAUUUGUUCAUAGCUAUAUUUCAGAUCUUGAUGCAGUUGGUAAAAAUAGGUUGCAAUCUUCCAUACCUGUAAAAAUAUGGACAAAGCCAGUGGACAAGGUAGUCAAAAUCAAUUUCGAUGCAGCGUACGAUGGUAGACAAAGUAAAGCGGCUAUUGGGGUUGUGGCCCGCAAUAAGGAGGGUUCAGUUCUUCUAUCAUGUACGGAGGUUCAUCAAAGAGUUCCCUCAGCCUUUGGGGCGGAAGCAAUAGCGUGUCGGAAAGCCCUCCAAAUCGGUGUUAACAUGCAGUGGGAAAAAGUUAUUAUUGAAGGGGAUUCUUUAUCAAUAAUAAGAAAAUGUAAAACAAAAAGGCCCGAUAAAUCAUUGAUUAGUGCGUAUUUACAUGAUAUUCAUCAACUUCUGCUUAAAUUCAAUGAGUGUAGGUUUGAGCAUAUCCCAAGAUUAGCAAACAACCUUGCGCAUAUAUUAGCAAAUGAAGCGCUGAAGAGUAGUAGAGGAGCCUACCUGAUCGGACGAGUCCCUGAAGCGGCAGAAAUCCAAGCAGAAACUGAGAGGGCAAAAGAACCAGAUUGAAGGAAGAAAGCGAGAAAUGAAGGGAUGAGAGUAUAGAGAAGGGCAGACAUCAAAGUUAUUUCAGCAGCCCUAGAGUAAUCUCAAGCGUCUUGGAAAAGUAAAUAAAAUUGAAGAGAUAAGACGUUUGUAGUCUUUUAAGACUGAUUGGGCAGGUAGAAUAGUAAACAUUUAUUAGAAUCAGAUUUUGUUUCCUUUUUCUUUUCUAUAGGAGAUUUGGUUUUUCAAUUUUUGUCUUUUAAUUUUCUUUUGCUGGGCUCAAUUUUUU
rnacentral:lncRNA from 1 species